AGAGAGAGAGAGAGAGAUGAGGGGAUGCUGGGAGUGGUUGGGAGGGGAUUAAUCUACCUCCAUCCUUAUAAUAAUAUCUCAUAACCUGGCGUUGUUUGCACUAGAAAACAAUAAAUAAAUGUCCAUCUUGACACCAUAAGAACGGAGCCGAACCACUGACUCUACUCAUCUACUGUAGAUCUGCUGCUUAAUGGUGCCUGCUGCUGUGGCAUAUCUCAUACCUGGCCAGUCAUUGCGCACGACAGAAGCGGAGCUCAACAAAAACAAGUAGCAAAUCCCUGGUUAGGGGGGGAACGUUAAGGCAGCGUGGGGAGUCACAAACCAUGACUUCAUGACAAAUGCAAGCUGUAAACAUGAACACACACCUGAGGCAAGGAGCAAUAUGUAAGCUUCCAUGUGCACAGCUGUUCAGAGUAAAACCCACAGACACUGAAAUCAUUUGAAUCUCAUUUAUCUUGCUUGCAUGAAAAAAAAAUCACUUUAGCCUAUACCCACUUGGGAAGUAAUUACCCAACUCCCAACCUCACUUUACUUCAAAUUGGCAAUCCAAGACUGACAUUUGAAAAAUGUCAUAUCGAUGUGUUUCUACUGAUUCCAUUUUCAUUAUCUUUAAGCAUUUCAGGGAAUAUUCUGUCAUCGUGAUCUGCUCUGUUUCUGAUUGAAACUGUUACUAAAACCUAAUCACGCAGUCCAUAUGUGCUGGUGAAUUCCAGCCACCCACGGGCCCACCCAGCUGCAUGCAGAUGUAAUGGUUGUAAGUGGUGGGCUGGACGGGCGGUUGGAGAGGGUGAGGGCUUAGAGAGCGCACGGAAAGAGGGCACGGAGAGAUUACAGGCUCCCACCCAUAUGGGCUGGAAUACAGUUCUGCUUUUUUUUUUAAGAGGUGGGAUUACGCUGCAGUGCUCUUAAAGCCCUUCAACUGCAAGUGAAUUGAUUUCUGAAAGAUCUCCACUCCCACAGAAGGAGAUGCAAGAGACCAUGUUGACGAGGCAAAUACAGAAGACUGGACUGAAGUAUGGUCAUUAAAGGAAUAGCUCA